GUGAGCCUUUUAACCUCUUAAACUCUGCGGACCCGGUACCGGGUCCAAAAAUAGCAUGCAAAAUGUUCCUGUUUCAUUUGCAAAGCCUUCCUUAUAUGGUAUCAGCCCAUAUAUGGGUUCAUUUGAAAGUUUAGAGUGUUUUCUUUACAAAGAAUACCAUUAAUUGGGGUUUUAUGAUUAAUAAAGUAGUAAAAUUAAGCUAAGAAAUAUAUUUUCCCCCCACACAAAUUUCCGUCUAACGAUUAGGAAUAUUUUUUCAUAAGAAUGUGUAUUUAAAAUAUUUUUCACAAAACAGUCAAGUCAUAUAUCACAAGAAAGCUCUCAUUCUCAGGAAUCUGACGAUGUAGAUCAUUUUAUUGUGUGACAAUCACAGAUCGAAUGAUCUUCAACAGAAUCGCGAUGUAAAAUUUCUCACCUCAUUGCAAAUUAUUAUUUAUCCAUCUUAGCACCGCUUCAGUCAGCCGCAAACAGCCACACAUACCUAUAUACUCGAUAUAAUCUUUUAGAUUUAGAAUCUCUUCUUUCAAACAAGACCAUUUUUACGUUUCUGCGUGCUUCCAUUGGUGAGAUAUAAAGCGUUAUGUCCAGACGCGCUCAAAGAGAAAGACGGACUUUUUGAGACAGAAGCGCUCUUCAUGUCAUAAGACAAGCCUAAGCGGCUUUCUUCUGAUAUAUCGAUCGGAUCUCUUUUGUGAACCACUAUUUGUCCCUUCAGCUGUCAGUCUGAGCUGUGUGCUCCACUCAGAGCUGCUGAAUUUGACACCUCUGCGUCAACAGCGGGGGGAUGGAGUGGACAGUGAUGACCACAUCCUCCUCAACCGGUGAAGCGCUGGCCGAUGGGAUAUUGAGUCCUCAAGUGUCCGUAAACAAAGAUCACACGCGGAAUAACUCGCGUCGCGGUGAUUAUCAAAUGUAUAAUAAUCAUACUACAAGUUAUGGAUGACCACCGUCGCCGUGGAGAGGACAGGACGCGCAUCUGGUCGUGUACAAGCUUCGGGCAGCGGAUAAGCGCUGAUAAUGCGUCAAAACAACAGAAGGGAGGCUGGAAUAUGAAAUAUUACAGUUGAUUGAGACAGGUAAGAUCUCCCAAUCAUUACACCAAUGCAGAAUGGACAUAAAUGAAAUGAUAUGAAGCUGGAGAUUGUGGAUUCUAUUUUAGAUUGUGAUAGACCAGAUAUAUUUAAUAAUUUAAAGCAGUUUGCUAGUUUGCAGUGUGACUUAUCCUCUUUCAAAGACUGUUCUGAAAAGCACACACACAAAAAAAGCACAUUGUAUUGAGGUGGUUCAUCAUAUGGGAAACAACAUAAAUAAUACUAUUUGUCACAAACAGCAGCUUUUUAUGUCACUUCAAAGGGUUUUCUGUAAAAGGAUAUAAAGAUAUUGCAUUUAUUCUAUUGUAUGUGGGUAUGAAUAGACUUCAAAUGUGGGUAGGCGGAAAAUGUAUACGAAAAGGGUAUUAUUCCUCCCUUUAGAUGGAAUAGAAUAACUUUUGCAUAGAUUAUGAUAGAAACAAAUUUCCUUUUUCCUCUAUUAGCUGACAUGUGCUGGAAACAAAUACAAUUGUUUGCAGGAUGCUGGACCUCUCAGAACCUGAGCUAUACAAUUUCAAACUUCAGUUUAUAAAAAAAAAAAUCAAAAAGCGCCUUUCUUUUUUUCCAUUUAUUAUAACACAGACAACAUAUAAAACCAUUUUUAUCAAUUUCAACAGUGUUUUAUGUAAUUUCAAAGGAUUUCCUGUAAAAUGAUACCAAACUUUUGUAUGUACACCUCUGCAUGUGGGUAUGGGAAGCUUUUGAAUUUGGGUAGGAAAAAUGCCAGGCGGAAAUCCCCAAAAUAGCCCUGUGCUUAAGAGGUUAAAGUGAAAGC